AUAACCUUGACUAGCCUGUAACCCCCCACAUAUACUUGGUACCUGUACCCUAUAGCCUCAUUAUUGCUGUUUUAUUGUGUUACUUUUUAUUUUAUUUUAUUAUUGACAUGUUGUACUUUUAACUCCAACCCUGUUCCUGGAGAGAUACCCUCCUGUAGGUUUUAACUCCAACCCUGUUCCUGGAGAGAUACCCUCCUGUAGGUUUUAACUCCAACCCUGUUCCUGGAGAGAUACCCUCCUGUAGGUUUUAACUCCAACCCUGUUCCUGGAGAGAUACCCUCCUGUAGGUUUUAACUCCAACCCUGUUCCUGGAGAGAUACCCUCCUGUAGGUUUUAACUCCAACCCUGUUCCUGGAGAGAUACCCUCCUGUAGGUUUUAACUCCAACCCUGUUCCUGGAGAGAUACCCUCCUGUAGGUUUUAACUCCAACCCUGUUCCUGGAGAGAUACCCUCCUGUAGGUUUUAACUCCAACCCUGUUCCUGGAGAGAUACCCUCCUGUAGGUUUUAACUCCAACCCUGUUCCUGGAGAGAUACCUUCCUGUAGGUUUUAACUCCAACCCUGUUCCUGGAGAGAUACCCUCCUGUAGGUUUUAACUCCAACCCUGUUCCUGGAGAGAUACCCUCCUGUAGGUUUUAACUCCAACCCUGUUCCUGGAGAGAUACCCUCCUGUAGGUUUUAACUCCAACCCUGUUCCUGGAGAGAUACCUUCCUGUAGGUUUUAACUCCAACCCUGUUCCUGGAGAGAUACCCUCCUGUAGGUUUUAACUCCAACCCUGUUCCUGGAGAGACACC